GCUUAACCGGAGAAGUGCAUCGGAAACUGGGUAACUUGAGUGCAGAAGAGGACAGUGGAACUCCAUGUGUAGCGGUGGAAUGCGUAGAUAUAUGGAAGAACACCAGUGGCGAAGGCGGCUGUCUAGUCUGUAACUGACGCUGAGGCUCGAAAGCAUGGGUAGCGAACAGGAUUAGAUACCCUGGUAGUCCAUGCCGUAAACGAUGAGUGCUAGGUGUUGGAGGGCUUCCGCCCUUCAGUGCCGCAGCUAACGCAUUAAGCACUCCGCCUGGGGAGUACGACCGCAAGGUUGAAACUCAAAGGAAUUGACGGGGGCCCGCACAAGCGGUGGAGCAUGUGGUUUAAUUCGAAGCUACGCGAAGAACCUUACCAGGUCUUGACAUCUUCUGCCAAUCUUAGAGAUAAGACGUUCCCUUCGGGGACAGAAUGACAGGUGGUGCAUGGUUGUCGUCAGCUCGUGUCGUGAGAUGUUGGGUUAAGUCCCGCAACGAGCGCAACCCUUAUUAUCAGUUGCCAGCAUUCAGUUGGGCACUCUGGUGAGACUGCCGGUGACAAACCGGAGGAAGGUGGGGAUGACGUCAAAUCAUCAUGCCCCUUAUGACCUGGGCUACACACGUGCUACAAUGGACGGUACAACG
rnacentral:rRNA from 1 species